UACGUAGGGCGCAAGCGUUAUCCGGAAUUAUUGGGCGUAAAGAGCUCGUAGGCGGCCACCGCAAGUCGACUGUGAAAUCUCCGGGCUUAACCCGGAAAGGUCAGCCGAUACUGCGGGGCUAGAGUGCAGAAGGGGCAACUGGAAUUCUCGGUGUAGCGGUGAAAUGCGUAGAUAUCGAGAGGAACACCUGCGGCGAAGGCGGGUUGCUGGGCUGACACUGACGCUGAGGCGCGAAAGCUAGGGGAGCGAACGGG
rnacentral:rRNA from 1 species